rnacentral:rRNA from 1 species
UGGGGAAUUUUGGACAAUGGGGGCAACCCUGAUCCAGCAAUGCCGCGUGAGUGAAGAAGGCCUUAGGGUUGUAAAACUCUUUCGCCGGGGAAGAUAAUGACGGUACCCGGAGAAGAAGCUCCGGCUAACUUCGUGCCAGCAGCCGCGGUAAUACGAAGGGAGCUAGCGUUGUUCGGAAUUACUGGGCGUAAAGCGCACGUAGGCGGACUUGUCAGUCAGGGGUGAAAUCCCAAGGCUCAACCUUGGAACUGCCUCCGAUACAGCAAGCCUAGAGAUCGGGAGAGGUGAGUGGAAUUCCUAGUGUAGAGGUGAAAUUCGUAGAUAUUAGGAAGAACACCAGUGGCGAAGGCGGCUCACUGGCCCGAUACUGGCGCUGAGGUGCGAAAGCGUGGGGAGCAAACAGGAUUAGAUACCCAAGUAGUCCCUGAGCGGGCUGGCAAGGCGCAU